rnacentral:lncRNA from 1 species
CACAAGUGGUCGAUUUUUUUUACAUAAGAAGUUAUCUUCCAGUACAAGCGAGAAUUCUUCAAGGUGGUGCACGGGGGCUGACUCAAGGGCCUUGGAAAGAGAAAUAUUCAGAAACUGGGUAAAAUCUGUCUGCUCUGAAGAUGUGAACUUCGACCCCAUUGGCUUAGGUGUAGUUUCUCUUUCACAGACUCUAUUUGUUCAAGAUGGCUCUAUUUGUUCAAGGUGGGUCGAGAUAUAAUUUACCAGUUGCUAAUCUUGCCCCAUGGUGGUCUAACGGUUAGGACUGGGUGCUCUAACCGCUGUGGUCCAGGUUCGUUUCCCGUCAAGGAACCACACCGCCCGUCGGUCGGUUGUCAUGCUGUGGCGGCUGUGUGUGGCUGUGAUGCUGAAAGCUCUGGCACCAGGAUUUCAGGCACCAGCACGUCACCCACAGUGGACAGGUGUCAGCAGACCUUCCAGACUAAGACAGACUAGGAAGAAGGACCUGGCCACCCACUUCUGAGAAAAAUGGCCAUGAAAACCCUGUGAAUAGCAGCGGCAUCUGACGUGGCACUGGCAGAACGCUUGCUGUCACAUCUUCCUGCUUGGUUCUCAAACACCCCUAGAGGUGGGACAAGGACCAUUGUCCCUAUUUGACAGAUGGGAAAACUGAGGCUCAGGAGGCAGAAGCCUCUUGACUUCGAGUCUGAGCUCUUCCCACUCCUCCAUGUCGCUUUGCUCAGCCCGGGGCAGGCGGCCGCAGCUCACAGCUCUGUGUCCUCUUCUGGGAAGUGGAAGAGUUGAACCAGUUAGGACCUCGAGCCUCUUCCGGAUCUAAAGAAAUGCCUGGUUUCUCCAGGAAGAGUUGUUCUCCAAACCAAAAGACGAGCCAACCAGGAACUUGUGGGAGGCGCUGGGUAGAGGACACAAAUGGCUGAAAUUUCUUUACAAGUUAGUCAUUUCCUUCCUGACAGCCUUCUUGCUCUGAGCUCUUCCUUCUCACCCUGGCAUGCAGUCAUGCAAAUAAACGCAUCGUCACUCGAGAGUCAAGCCGGAGAUCUGUGCGACCCAUACCUGCGUCAUGCCCUGCCCCUGGAACACGUGUGAAAGUUGUGCUGGUGUGAUGGUCGUGUGAGUUCCCACUGAGCCUCUGGAGGUGCACAAAUUCUCUUUCCUCAUUCCGCUCCGGUUCUCUGGGCUGCUCUCAAGGUCCCCUGGGGUUGGGGAUUACCCCUUUGUAGAAUAACUUCCAGGGGCUCUUUUUCAGAUUUAAGUAAAUGGACAACCUGAUUGUUUCACGCCAGGAUGUAGGCUCCUGGAGAGACAAUGCUGCUUACGAC